rnacentral:rRNA from 1 species
CCUUUGUACACACCGCCCGUCGCUACUACCGAUUGAAUGGCUCAGUGAGGCCUUCGGACUGGCUCAGGGAGGUAGGCAACUGUCACCCAGAGCCGGAAAGUUGGUCAAACUUGGUCAUUUAGAGG